UACAGAGGUCUCAAGCGUUGUUCGGAUUCAUUGGGCGUAAAGGGAGCGUAGGUGGCGGGGUUAGUCAGGUGUGAAAUCUCGGGGCUCAACCCCGAAACUGCACUUGAUACUGCCUUGCUAGAGUACUGGAGAGGAGAUUGGAAUUUACGGUGUAGCAGUGAAAUGCGUAGAUAUCGUAAGGAAGACCAGUGGCGAAGGCGGGUCUCUGGACAGUUCCUGACGCUGAGGCACGAAGGCCAGGGGAGCAAACGGG
rnacentral:rRNA from 1 species